GACGAACGCUGGCGGCGUGCUUAACACAUGCAAGUCGAACGGAAAGGCCCUGCUUUUGUGGGGUGCUCGAGUGGCGAACGGGUGAGUAACACGUGAGUAACCUGCCCUUGACUUUGGGAUAACUUCAGGAAACUGGGGCUAAUACCGGAUAGGAGCUCCUGCUGCAUGGUGGGGGUUGGAAAGUUUCGGCGGUUGGGGAUGGACUCGCGGCUUAUCAGCUUGUUGGUGGGGUAGUGGCUUACAAAGGCUUUGACGGGUAGCCGGCCUGAGAGGGUGACCGGCCACAUUGGGACUGCGAUACGGCCCAGACUCCUACGGGAGGCAGCAGUGGGGAAUCUUGCACAAUGGGCGGAAGCCUGAUGCAGCAACGCCGCGUGCGUGAUGACGGCCUUCGGGUUGUAAACCGCUUUCGCCUGUGACGAAGCGUGAGUGACGGUAAUGGGUAAAGAAGCACCGGCUAACUACGUG
rnacentral:rRNA from 1 species